UCACACAUUGAAUUUUAAUUACUAUCCGUAUAGAAAAGGCAGAUUUGUAAUAAGAAAAAGAAGGAGCAUUAGUUAUUCAUUUUGUAUUUACAACUCUUACUAUAACAACAGUAACAUUUAUGCUGGACUAGUGAAAAACGGUCUUGUAAAAAAUUGUACUCAUCCUCAUGCUCCUUCUUUUAGUCAAGUCGAUAAGAACAAAAAAAAUUUAAAAAAAAAAUAUGAACAUAACAAAGUGAGAUAUAAAAAAUACCGACUUUUUUUUUACUUAAAUAAAUGUAUUAAUAAUAACAUUUAUAUGUACAACUAUAAAAAUGGAAGGAGUAUAGUAAAUAAAAAAGAAGAAGAGAACUUAGCUAGCUAUUUAAUUCACAAUGAAAAAAAAAUAUAUAUGCAUAAGCAAAAAAGUGUAAAAAGCAACAGUAUCAACCAUGAUGAUAACCAUGAUGAUAACCAUGAUGAUAGCAAGUGCGAUAAUAAAAAUGAUGAAAACACUUUUGGACACAGUACAACUGACUUACAUAAGGAACAUACUAAUUUAAAAGAUAACAAAUAUGAUGAAACUAGCUGUUUAAUAAAUACAAAAAAUGAUAAAAGUGCUAGAAUAAAUAAGGAGAGUAGAGAAGAAUACUCUAAUAAAAACAUUAACGAAAUGAAAGAUGAACAGUUUAGCAAAGCAAUGGAAAAUGUAAAAAACUAUAUCAAAGGGACAGAAGAUGAUAUAAUAGAAAACAGAGAGGCAUAUAAAAAAAAAAAGGUAAUUGAAAAUAUAAAAAGAGAAGAAGAUGUUUUUUCUGAUAAAUUAUUGAACUUAGGAAUAUAUGAUAUACUCAAACAUAUAUAUAAAAAAGAUGUGUAUGUAACUUCUAAAGUGUUGGUAGAUGCUAUUUGCAGCUGGAUGAAACGGGCAUACGUGGACCUGUUUCCAUCAGAAAGUGAAAAUAAAGCAGGCUCAUAUAUGCGUAAAAAUAAAGGCAUAAUAGAGAAUGUACAAAAGGCUGUGGUAACUACUAGAACACGUGUGUCAAAUGGUUAUAUCGAAGAAGAAAAAGAAAAUGGCUACAUCGACAUUGAUUUUGAUGAUAGUGAUAGAAGUGGUACUAACAGUGGUAUUAGCGACAGUGCAAACGCAAAUGGAGGCGUAAAUGGAGACGUAAAUGGAGACGUAAAUGGAGACGUAAAUGGAGACGUAAAUGCUGAAAAGGAAACGCUAAAACUGUAUAAUAAAAAAAACUUAAGUAAGUAUUUUUUUUCUUUGAAUAAAGGUAAUAUAUUAAAACAGAUAGUGACGGAAGGAGAAGAUGUUACAUUUGAAGAUGAUUCAAAAAGUGAGUCAAAAAAUGUGGAAAAAAUUGUGGCAAAAAGUGAGUCAAAAAAUGUGGAAAAAAUUGUGGCAAAAAGUGAGUCAAAAAAUGUGGAAAAAAAUGUGGCAAAAAGUGAGUCAAAAAAUGUGGAAAAAAAUGUGGCAAAAAGUGAGUCAAAAAAUGAGAACAAUUACAACGUUCAAUAUGAACAAGCUCAAAAAAAAGUAUCACCCGAAACUAGAGAAAAACUGUUUAAUAACCAUACUGACGAUAUAUUAUUAAAUCCUUUAUUUAGCUAUGAUCAAGAUUUAUAUAUUGAUAUGAAUAGGUAUAUAAAAUCAAAUGUAACCAUAGAGUUUAAUAUAUAUGAUGCAUAUAAUGAUAAAGUAGUAUUAAGUAACAAAGCAACAAACUCAAGUAUGCUUGAGUUUCCUUUAAUUUUUAGUCAUAAUAUAAUAAAGAAGUGUAUUUUGACUAUGAAGAAAUUGGAAAAAGCUAUUUUUUAUAUUAAUAAUCAAUUAUUAUUUAAAAAUUUUCAUUCUGAUGACCAACCAACAAAUGACGAAGACAAAAACAUUUAUGAUGUUAUAAUGAAUCAAAAUUGGAUAAAAAUGGAAAUAUAUUUAUGUAAUAUAUACAAAUUUGAUGAAAAAUGGAUGGGAAUAUCACCUGAUCAAUUUGCGGACGAAGGAAAAGCAGACUCUUUUUUUAAGGAUUAUUCUUUGGACGCACCAAAUAAUUUGAUAUCCACUUCAUCUCUUUGUCAAUUUGGAAAUGGUGGUAAUGUAGCUGCGUGUCAAACCAGUACCGAUGUAGCUACAUGCCACACUAGUAAUACCAAAAAUGGCAAAACUAACUUCGAUAUAAAAACACAGACUAAAGACACAUCAAAAGACACGAAUAUGAUAAGUCCAAAAAGAGCAGAAAUAAUAAAAAGAAAAGAAGAGUAUGCAACUAAAAAAGAAAUUGAAAUAAAAACUGACUUUUUAAUGAAAAAGUUAGAAAACGAAAUGAAAUAUGACCCUAACCAUUAUAUGUGGAAUGAUUUAUAUCCACAAUUAGAUAAACAACAUAAAGAUAGAACUGAUAAAUAUUUUGAUAAUUUAAAAACUGAAAUUAAUGAAAAUAAAUUAAGUAGAGGUUAUAUAGAUAUUAAAAAAAAAAAACAAAAAUUAAAAGGUUACGAUAUAGGUGAAAAAAUAAAAGGAGUGUCUAAAUAUUAUAUAUGGGAAGAAAAUAUUUCUAGUUUUACUUUACAUUUUUUAUUAAAACCAUAUGUUAAUAAAAAUCAUUUAUUUAUCGACAUUGAUAAUUUUUUUUUUCAUUUAACAAUUAAUAAUUAUGUAAUUAUAAAAGACUUUUUCACAAAACAAAUUGAUUCGGAAAAUUCAUUGUGGUCCCUUACUGAAAAUUAUAAUAAUCAAAAAGAUGUGGUAACAUUACAUAAUGAGAGUACGGAUUUUCCUAUAUAUGAAACGACAAAUAUAAAUGAUGAAGAUAUCAAACAUAUUGUUAAAAAAAAAUACACUUUAGUGUAUAACAUUUAUAAAGACAACAACCAUAAGUACAUGUGGGGAUCCAUUUUUAAGAGUU
rnacentral:lncRNA from 1 species